rnacentral:rRNA from 1 species
CGUGUAGGCGGGAAUGUAAGUCAGAUGUGAAAUCCCAGAGCUUAACUCUGGAGCUGCAUCUGAAACUAUGUUUCUUGAGUGUCGGAGAGGAAAGCGGAAUUCCUAGUGUAGCGGUGAAAUGCGUAGAUAUUAGGAGGAACACCAGUGGCGAAGGCGGCUUUCUGGACGAUAACUGACGCUGAGGCGCGAAAGCGUGGGGAGCAAACAGGAUUAGAUACCCUGGUAGUCCACGCUGUAAACGAUGGAUACUAGGUGUAGGGGGUAUCGACCCCCCCUGUGCCGCAGUUAACACAAUAAGUAUCCCACCUGGGGAGUACGGCCGCAAGGUUGAA